rnacentral:lncRNA from 1 species
AGUUAGAAUGUCUAACUUGCAAGGUAAUAGAUCUGAUCUAUUAUAUUUUACAUAUAUUAGAUGUAGUAUAGAAACAUGUUGAUAUGAUCAACAUGUAGUUCUUGCUCUUUCUAUUUUAAUUUUUGAUUUAAUACCAUAUAAUAAUCAUAUAAUAGGAUUUUAGAUUUAGGAAUUCUUUAAUUUUAUAAGAUAAAUUUUGAUUUAUUUUAGUCUUCCGCUGCC